AGAAAGCGCUGACAACGUUGUUUUGUAAAUUACUUUUCUCUUUUCCUUUUGUGCCUUUGCUUCACUGAGGGGCAUUAUGACGCCCCAGUCGGGAGUGCCGGACAGCGGUCUUCCAAGCCAGCAGAAGCAUUCCAGCCUGCUGGGUUUUCAUCCCAGGCCCAACCCCAGGAAGGCUGUUGCGGAGCGCUGGUCGGAUCGCCUCUCGCCUGUACGAGCUGCGGACCUACAGUCUGCGGAUGGACCAGAUGCGCCACUUUCUGGCCGGCACCGAGACGUUGUUCCACCUGCGCACCCAGCACUCGCCGCUGAUCGGCUACUGGACCGCCGAGCUGGGCGGCCUGAACCAGGUGGUGCACGUCUGGGAAUACGAUGACCUGUCCCACCGGGCGGCGGUGCGUGCCAACUGGCCGCCGACGAGGAGUGGACACAAAAAUACGUGACACCUGUCCUGAGCCCGGCCCUCGUGGCGCAAGACAACUUCCUCAUGCGUCCGCUGGAUGGCACCACCGUCAGUAUGCCGACUGAUACUGGCGUAACGGAGCUACAGCAGCUGGAGCUGCGCGGCCCGCCG